UACGUAGGGGGCAAGCGUUGUCCGGAUUUAUUGGGCGUAAAGAGCGUGUAGGCGGCUAUACAGGUCCGCUGUGAAAACUCGAGGCUCAACCUCGAGACGUCGGUGGAAACCGUAUGGCUAGAGUCCGGAAGAGGAGAGUGGAAUUCCUGGUGUAGCGGUGAAAUGCGCAGAUAUCAGGAAGAACACCCGUGGCGAAGGCGGCUCUCUGGGACGGUACUGACGCUGAGACGCGAAAGCGUGGGGAGCGAACAGA
rnacentral:rRNA from 1 species